GGUCAGUGAUGAGAUGUAAAAGGUCCGAAGCCCUCGUCUCCUUUCAGUCCGUUUGUCUCUCCCAGCAGCCCCUGUUAAUAAUUUCCCAGCAUGCUCUAGUCAUGCAUUGCUGGAUAGAGGUGGCGGCUGAUAUUAUGGACGUUUAUGCUGUAUAAUUAGAGUCUUUUAGAGAAUUACAAGACUUUUAUCAGCAUCGUCCGACAGAAACAUCACACACAGGAGGGCUGGACUGAAGGAGGACGUUUAACGGGCUCAUGAUCUCAAGUUUUCAAGCUGAGACC
ensembl:scaRNA